GGCCUACACAUGCAAGUCGAGCGAACCCUUCGGGGUUAGCGGCGGACGGGUGAGUAACGCGUGGGAACGUGCCCUUCUGUGCGGAAUAGCCACUGGAAACGGUGAGUAAUACCGCAUACGCCCUUCGGGGGAAAGAUUUAUCGCAGAGGGAUCGGCCCGCGUUGGAUUAGGUAGUUGGUGGGGUAAUGGCCUACCAAGCCUACGAUCCAUAGCUGGUUUGAGAGGAUGAUCAGCCACACUGGGACUGAGACACGGCCCAGACUCCUACGGGAGGCAGCAGUGGGGAAUCUUGGACAAUGGGGGCAACCCUGAUCCAGCCAUGCCGCGUGAGCGAUGAAGGCCUUAGGGUUGUAAAGCUCUUUCAGCUGGGAAGAUAAUGACGGUACCAGCAGAAGAAGCCCCGGCUAACUCCGUGCCAGCAGCCGCGGUAAUACGGAGGGGGCUAGCGUUGUUCGGAAUUACUGGGCGUAAAGCGCGCGUAGGCGGAUUGUUAAGUCGGCGGUGCAAUCCCGGGGCUCGACCCCGGAACUGCCUCCGAUACUGGCAAUCGUGAGGUCGAGAGAGGUGAGUGGCAUUCCCAGUGUAGAGGUGAAAUUCGUAGAUAUUCGGAGGAACACCAGUGGCGAAGGCGGCUCACUGGCUCGAUACUGACGCUGAGGUACGAAAGUGUGGGGAGCAAACAGGAUUAGAUACCCUGGUAGUCCACACCGUAAACGAUGAAUGCCAGACGUCGGGUAGCAUGCUAUUCGGUGUCACACCUAACGGAUUAAGCAUUCCGCAUGGGGAGUAAGGUCGCAAGAUUAAAACUCGAAGGAAUUGACGGGGGCCCUCACAAGCGGUGGAGCAUGCGGUAUAAUUCGAAGCAACGCACACAACCUUACCAUCCCUUGACAUCCUCAACGCGGAUCGCAGAGAUACUUUCCUUCAGUUCGGCUGGUUGAGUGACAGGUGCUGCAUGGCUGUCGUCAGCUCGUGUCGUGAGAUGUUGGGUUAAGUCCCGCAACGAGCGCAACCCUCGCCCUUAGUUGCCAGCAUUCAGUUGGGCACUCUAGGGGAACCGCCGGUGAUAAGCCGGAGGAAGGUGGGGAUGACGUCAAGUCCUCAUGGCCCUUACGGGAUGGGCUACACACGUGCUACAAUGGCGGUGACAGUGGGUUAAUCCCCAAAAGCCGUCUCAGUUCGGAUUGUUCUCUGCAACUCGAGAGCAUGAAGUCGGAAUCGCUAGUAAUCGCGUAACAGCAUGACGCGGUGAAUACGUUCCCGGGCCUUGUACACACCGCCCGUCACACCAUGGGGAGUUGGGUUUACCCGAAGACGGUGCGCCAACCCUUACGGGGGGCAGCUGGCCACGGUAAGCUCAGCGACUGGGG
rnacentral:rRNA from 1 species